UGAAACGCGGGAGCUCACCGAGUGUGUGGGCUGAGAGGACGCCAUCCGGGCGUCGACCGCCGAACCUGUCCGGGUAAUGCCGGCGAAGGAAGCGAGCGUCAAUG
rnacentral:ncRNA from 27 species